GGUGUUUUUAGGUUAUUUUGAGGGUUUUGAGGUGUUUUUGGGGUGUUUUUAGGUUAUUUUGAGGGUUUUGGGGGUAUUUUGAGGGUUUUGGGGUGUUUUUGGGGUGUUUUUGGGUUAUUUGGAGGUUCCUGGAUGGAUUUUGGGGUGGUUUUGGGAUAUUUUGGGUGAUUUUGGGGUGUUUUUAGGUUAUUUUGAGGGUUUUGAGGUGGUUUUGGGGUGUUUUUGGGUUAUUUUGAGGUGUUUUUGGGGUGUUUUUGGGUCAUUUGGAGGUUCCUGGAUGGAUUUCGUGAUCUCUCCCAGGGAAGCAUUCCCUGACCUCUCCCCUGACCCCACCCCCUCUCCAGAGAACAUUCCAGAAGGGGCUCCCUGUGCGGGGUCAGGGGGGAUCCCAGGGGGUUCCCCCGGAUUUGGGGAGGGGUCUGGGCGCCCCUGAGCCCCCUCCCC